CCGGGCCUUUGACGCGUCCGCACAGCCCCUAUAGUCCCUGGGCCCACGUGAACUCGGAACGUUCUUAAAUAGCUAGUCUUUCCGAUAGGCCUAUACCUCUGUGUGUCUUCAAACUUUUAUACUUUGUGAAGUUUUCGGUGCUAUAGUAGUUAUUAGUGAGUGUCAGUGCUCAAGUGUAGUGUUUUGUUUGCUGAAAUCGUCUUGCAUCGCCACCACCAUUGAGGCUUACAUACAGACCGGAGCGCCGGAUACGCUCUACGAUCCGGAAGGCUGUGCUUUCCUGACGUACUUCAGCAGAGACAGUGCCGCGUUAGCACAACACGCACUGCAUGAGAAACGCACAUUACCAGGGG